ACAGCAAUUUACCUAAGGCCUCAAGGCCACCGCCCCGCGCAGUGCAUGGAGGUGGGAAGGGAAAGGAGGAAAGGGCUUGUCCAGAGGCCCUUCACCUCGGCCCCCGGGCUCCGCGCGACUUGCCUGGCUCCGCGGGCAGCAGGGAGGAUGAGGCGCCGUCAGGGGGCGAGGGCACCGCCUAGUUCCGCGGGCCAGUCAGGAGGCGGCCCAUUAUCCGGCGUCGUUAAAGAGCAAUUAGAUGGAAAUUAAGCCGAGAACAAGUAUUGAUUAUCUCAUUAAGGCCGGGGGAGCCCGCUCUGUCGGUGCGAGUUUAGCGCCGCUCACUCCAUUAUCUGCAAGGUCUGUGGGCUCCCAGUCCUCCAGCACUCAAGUCCACUCCUCCUCCACCAUAGUGGGACCUCUUCGUAACCCAGUCCUCCCAAAGCCGUCUUCCUCACCUCACCGCAGUCCUGGCCCAAACUGCCCGGGGACGGGCCCACCCAGGGGGUCCCGGCCGGGCCGCUCCUCCGCCCUCCCAUGGGACCCGCUGCGUCCUAGAGCCCCAGCUUGUCUUCGAGCUUCGCUGCCUCCCGCUCGCUGUCUGCCUCGCUCCCGCCUUCCUCCCUUCUCCCUCCUCCAGCCGCAUCAGAAAUAUAUUGUAGUAUUCUCACCUAAUCCUGUUCAAUUACAGCAUAAUAAAACACAUAAUAAAAACCUAAUUCAUUUUUCUCCCGCGCCUCCCAUCUCCCGGCAUCUUCUAGCUCGGGAUUAAAAAUUUGUCUUCAUGUUUGUGGCACCGCAAUCCCGGCGCCUCCGCAUCUUUAAUGUAUGAGCCGGGGAGCUAGAGAUCCGCGGAUUCUGCGGUCUUCGCGCCGGGAAGGCGCCUGCCAGUCACCUAAGGAUGCAGGCGGGGAAGGAUGGAGAAGCGUAGACUUGCGUGGGGCCCUAGCGGUGGCCACCCGCUCGCGUCCACAGGAUGAGGGCUCAAAGGCCCCCAGAUUUCCAGGGGCAGAGAGAAAGCACGUGCGUCCUGUCCGACAGACCCCGUGUGGCCUCUAGGGGGCGCAGUGUGGGGCAGAUCUCUGGGAAGGGCCUUU
rnacentral:lncRNA from 1 species